AUGGGGGCAACCGCUGACCAGGUGCGAGUUCUCAGCGUCACCCACGUCCAGCCUGACCACCACCAGAGCACCAACCUGCGGCCGCCGGCCGACGAGCACGCCAUCAUGAAGCUCUCCUUCCUCGACUCCUUCCACGUCGCCACGGGGCCGAUCCAGCGCCUCUUCUUCUACGACGGCCCCGGCCUCCCGCCGUUCCCGUCCGUCGUCAGCUCGCUCCGCUCCUCCCUGGCUGCCACGCUGCCGAUCUUCCUCCCGCUCGCCGGCAAGCUGGCCUUCCGGCUCUCCUCCAGCGACGUCGUGGUGGACUGCUCCCCCUCAGCCGUCUCAUCCUCGGGCGUCAAGUUCGUGGAGGCAGAGUUCCUGGGAGGCGCCGACGCCUUGCGCCGCCUCGCCGGCGACGACGAGCACGACACCGAGGCGUUCGCGCGGCUGGUGCCGGAACUCGAUGAUGCCGGGAAGCUUCCAGCGCCGGUGCUCGCGGUUCAGGUCACGAGGCCGGAUGGCGACGGCGGAGGCGUGGUGGCCGUGGGCGUGUCCCUCCACCACGCCGUGGCCGAUGGCAAGUCGUUUUGGCAGUUUAUGAGGUGGUGGUCAGCCGCGUCGCGUGGAGACUUGCUCGCCGCCACGCCGGACGACCUCGUGCCGCCGUCGUUCGACCGGACGGCGAUUCGCCACCCCAGGGAAGAGGAGCUCACCGCCUGGAUAUUGAGCUUUAGAGCGCCAAUGCUUCCUACGCUCGGACGGCGGUUGUCGAUGGGUACUGUGUGCCGGCGCACCAGAACCUUCCGCCUCGUCGCCGACGAGAUCCAAUCGCUGAAGCGGCGCAUUUCACAACAGCUGCCCAAACCGGCAAGCACCUACGUCGCCAUCUCGUCCCUGGCCUGGACGUGCAUCGUCGGCGCCAAGACGUCUUCACACAUGAUCCAUGAUGACGACGACGCCUUCUUGAUGGUGCACGCGGACUGCCGUGGCCGUCUCCGCGGGCCCCCGAUCAACGAGGGCUUCUUCGGGAACUGUGUCAAGCCAUGCUACGCGAGAGCCAGAGCGGCGGACCUGAUGCCACCGCGCCGCCUUGGUGAGCACAUCGACGGCCUUGCAUGCGCCGCCGCGGCUAUCCAGGAGGCGAUCCGCGACGGCUUGGAGGCGACAGGCGAGAACCCGUUCCCCGACUUUGGGGAGGUGCUGAAGUACCACAUGGCGCUGCCGCCGGGGAGGGCAAGCACGGUGGGGUCGUCUCACCGGUUCAUGGCGUAUGAGACGGACUUCGGUUGGGGCCCACCUAGCCGCGUCGAGCUGGCGUCCAUCUUCGGGAGCGGCGACUUGGUGGCGCUGCUCGGAGCGAGGGACGGCGGCGUGCAGGUCUCGGUGACGCUCGACGGGGCGUGCAUGGAUGCCUUCGCCCCUGAUUUCAUCGGCAUCAUCAACGGCUUGAAAUUCUAG
rnacentral:rRNA from 1 species